UACACCCACACGAAAUCUAUUCAGCUGGCACUUCUCCACCAAGGAGGAUCUUCCCAGAGUUGCUCCACAGCGUGGUCUGGGUGGGACGCUGGAGAAAAUUCAGAGGGAGAUGGCAGCGGUCUCAGAGCGCCCUGCCUCACCAGUUCCCAAACUCAGCUGACUGUACUGAACUGCACAACGCCCUGGGACAUAGCGAGCUUGUCCUGACCAGCGACAGCUGAUAGGUCCUCUGUGCUGACUUAAAACCAGACACCUGGGUGGAAGCUGCAUGACUCACAGGAGAAAAUGAUUUGCUUUCAAAUGCAUAAUAAGGAGAUAUGAAAACAGAAGACACUCUCCAAAAGAAACGGACUCAUUAAAGAGAGAAAUAGAGGAGGGCAGAGAAUGGGAGAAGAAAAGAGGAAGAUGUGGUCAGUGGAGCGGAGAAAUCUCCAAGUAUGCCAACAGGGAAGGGCCUCCCGCGGUGACGUCACGGACCCUCUAUUUUAUCAGCACCGCCAAUGGUCUCACCAAGCCUUACUCCAGUGUAACGCUAUUUGACCAGCGAGGAAGCCAGGUAGCACUCUGGCCCCAGGCCACACGGUUCAUGAGGAGCGAAGCCCAGUCUAAAACCACAAGUGAGCGCCCCGCGGCCACCUCUUGCCAGCUCCAGGCUCUACCCUCGGACCAGGAAGCCUGCUAAUCACCGCAGAGGCCAGGCAGCCCAGGAGGCCAGGUAAACACGGAGAAGUGCAGGCACCUGACCUGAGGCUGGGGAAGCGGGCGUGGAGCCCAGUGUGUGGUUAGAGCUGGGACCCUCGGUGCUCUCCUCCUUGGCGCCUCGCAGACCCUCUGCUCUGAAGGGCACGGGACACAGCAAGGUGCUCCGCAUUCCAGCUGCCCCCGAGCAAGGCCAGUGUGCUCUGCACCAGCCCAGGCCUGACAUUCGCGUCCAGGAGGCGGGACGCACCGGCAGCCUGUCCUCAGGGCUGUCUCCACCGGGAGGAACUAGACCUGGCAAGAAAGGACACAAAAGACAAGCUCCAGACCAGUGAUCUUACCUCUUCCAUGGCUUUCCUCCGAGGCAGAGUCUGGGAGACAAACCCGCCUCGCGGAGCAGGAUCUGGAGACCACCGCAGGCUCUCCUCUGCCUCCCCCGGCCAGGGAGCAAUCACUUCCCGCCUCUGCCUGGGACACACCUGAGCCCAGGCUCUCCACCUGCUCCACCUGGGUCGUGGCUCCUCCCUCGCCUGGGGCUGGGCAUGGGCCCGCCUCCAUCCUGGGAGCUUGGCAGGGCGCCUGCAGGGCCCCCUUUGUGCACAGACCCAGAGACCCCAGACGGUUCAGCAGCAGCUCCUCCCUGCUCCCAGGCUGAUCCGUGUCACUCCCUCUCCAGGAUGUCAUUUUGCUCUGUGUUCAGGAGGUGGUGAGGAAUGGAACAUGCCCUGCCCCUCCGGUUAGUGCAGAAUGCUGGGGCUGGACGCUGUGAUUGCCAUUAGGAACGGCCUGGUCCAACUCCACCCCUGCUGGGGGACAUUGUCGUGAGAUAAGAGAUGCAAACCCCAGUUGGAAGGACAAGUCAAAUACCCUGCUGAUGUAGAGAGCACAGUGUGAUUCUUCAUUUGAACUCUGGCCUGCUCAAAUCCAUCUCUCUUCCCUCCACUCCAUUCCCCAAAGGACUUGAGCAAGAGGACAAUGAGCAACCUCAGAAGUCAUGUGCUUAAGAUAGCAAAAUCACAAGAUUGAAGGGACCUCAAUCGCUGAGUCCCUACUUCUAAGAAAACUAGUCAAUAGUCAUAAGAUUGUGAUAUAAAUAAAUUUUUGUUGUAUUAAGUUACCAAGAAUUUGGGGGCCAUUUGUUACUGUGGCAUAUCCUAUCUUAUUCUGAUUAAUACAACUUUCUUACAGUGUAUUAUUGAGACAUCGUAAAACAUAAUGGUGGGAUAGUAGGAAAGCAAAGACAAUAUUCACAGUUGGGUUAGGAGAUAAGGAAACUUAUCGUGAUGUGGGUUUAACCAAGUCCUUGGGGAAUGAAUUGAAGGUUAGGUUGCAAUUUGUAACAGCCUGAUCUGUGCUGUUGGGAAUAACAGUAG